UUAUUAUCAUGCUUAAACUCCAUGCUUCCACUCCCAUGCAUCCCCAUAGCUGAUGCUAGUCGGAGAACUCACCUCUCUCUCUCUGUCUCUCUCUUUAUCCCUCUUAUCUCAAUCUUCCACCAAAUCUCUCCCCAUCCUCUCUACUUUGCCUUAAAACUCCAUCUUAUAGAUCUAGCACUCCUCUUUCAAAACUCUAAAUGACAACAAUGGACAAGUCCUUACCAUAGUCUUCAAACCCUUGCCACCUCUGUCACAAUGUCCACCUCAGUAAAUCAAGAAUGCCAUGUUAAGCAAGCUCCCCGACCACAUGUCCAUUGGGUCCAUCUCCACAUAGACUAGAUCCAUCAUCAUCAUAGUCCAUGAACUCACCUUUGUUGCCAUGCUGCAUACCCUCCUCAACCAUAUAGCACUAUUAGUGCCUUCGACAAUGAUAAAUGCCAAACCCUUCAUCCAUCUCAAGAUCGUUUCCACUCACCAUCAAGGCAUUAUUGAUCUCAUCAUCCACCCAAUAGGA
rnacentral:lncRNA from 1 species